rnacentral:rRNA from 1 species
GGUUAAGCGACUAAGCGUACACGGUGGAUGCCCUGGCAGUCAGAGGCGAUGAAGGACGUGCUAAUCUGCGAAAAGCGCCGGCGAGGUGAUAUGAACCUUUGACCCGGCGAUGUCCGAAUGGGGAAACCCAGUGUGUUCCGACACACUAUCGUUAACUGAAUACAUAGGUUAACGAGGCGAACCGGGGGAACUGAAACAUCUAAGUACCCCGAGGAAAAGAAAUCAACCGAGAUUCCCCCAGUAGCGGCGAGCGAACGGGGAGCAGCCCAGAGUCUGAAUCAGCUUGUGUGUUAGUGGAAGCGUCUGGAAAGUCGCACGGUACAGGGUGACAGUCCCGUACACGAAAGCACACAGGCUGUGAACUCGAAGAGUAGGGCGGGACACGUGGUAUCCUGUCUGAAUAUGGGGGGACCAUCCUCCAAGGCUAAAUACUCCUGACUGACCGAUAGUGAACCAGUACCGUGAGGGAAAGGCGAAAAGAACCCCGGCGAGGGGAGUGAAAAAGAACCUGAAACCGUGUACGUACAAGCAGUGGGAGCCUCUUUUAUGGGGUGACUGCGUACCUUUUGUAUAAUGGGUCAGCGACUUAUAUUCUGUAGCAAGGUUAACCGUAUAGGGGAGCCGAAGGGAAACCGAGUCUUAACUGGGCGUUAAGUUGCAGGGUAUAGACCCGAAACCCGGUGAUCUAGCCAUGGGCAGGUUGAAGGUUGGGUAACACUAACUGGAGGACCGAACCGACUAAUGUUGAAAAAUUAGCGGAUGACUUGUGGCUGGGGGUGAAAGGCCAAUCAAACCGGGAGAUAGCUGGUUCUCCCCGAAAGCUAUUUAGGUAGCGCCUCGUGAACUCAUCUUCGGGGGUAGAGCACUGUUUCGGCUAGGGGGCCAUCCCGGCUUACCAACCCGAUGCAAACUACGAAUACCGAAGAAUGUUAUCACGGGAGACACACGGCGGGUGCUAACGUCCGUCGUGAAGAGGGAAACAACCCAGACCGCCAGCUAAGGUCCCAAAGUCAUGGUUAAGUGGGAAACGAUGUGGGAAGGCACAGACAGCCAGGAUGUUGGCUUAGAAGCAGCCAUCAUUUAAAGAAAGCGUAAUAGCUCACUGGUCGAGUCGGCCUGCGCGGAAGAUGUAACGGGGCUAAACCAUGCACCGAAGCUGCGGCAGCGACACUAUGUGUUGUUGGGUAGGGGAGCGUUCUGUAAGCCGUUGAAGGUGUCCUGUGAGGGGUGCUGGAGGUAUCAGAAGUGCGAAUGCUGACAUAAGUAACGAUAAAGCGGGUGAAAAGCCCGCUCGCCGGAAGACCAAGGGUUCCUGUCCAACGUUAAUCGGGGCAGGGUGAGUCGACCCCUAAGGCGAGGCCGAAAGGCGUAGUCGAUGGGAAACAGGUUAAUAUUCCUGUACUUGGUGUUACUGCGAAGGGGGGACGGAGAAGGCUAUGUUAGCCGGGCGACGGUUGUCCCGGUUUAAGCAUGUAGGCGGAGGUUCCAGGUAAAUCCGGUUCCUUGUUAACGCUGAGGUGUGAUGACGAGGCACUACGGUGCUGAAGUAACAAAUGCCCUGCUUCCAGGAAAAGCCUCUAAGCAUCAGGUAACACGAAAUCGUACCCCAAACCGACACAGGUGGUCAGGUAGAGAAUACCAAGGCGCUUGAGAGAACUCGGGUGAAGGAACUAGGCAAAAUGGUGCCGUAACUUCGGGAGAAGGCACGCUGAUAUGUAGGUGAAGCCCCUGCGGGUGGAGCUGAAAUCAGUCGAAGAUACCAGCUGGCUGCAACUGUUUAUUAAAAACACAGCACUGUGCAAACACGAAAGUGGACGUAUACGGUGUGACGCCUGCCCGGUGCCGGAAGGUUAAUUGAUGGGGUUAGCGGCAACGCGAAGCUCUUGAUCGAAGCCCCGGUAAACGGCGGCCGUAACUAUAACGGUCCUAAGGUAGCGAAAUUCCUUGUCGGGUAAGUUCCGACCUGCACGAAUGGCGUAAUGAUGGCCAGGCUGUCUCCACCCGAGACUCAGUGAAAUUGAACUCGCUGUGAAGAUGCAGUGUACCCGCGGCAAGACGGAAAGACCCCGUGAACCUUUACUAUAGCUUGACACUGAACACUGGUCCUUGAUGUGUAGGAUAGGUGGGAGGCUUUGAAGCGUGGACGCCAGUCUGCGUGGAGCCAACCUUGAAAUACCACCCUUUAAUGGCUGGUGUUCUAACGUAGACCCGUAAUCCGGGUUGCGGACAGUGUCUGGUGGGUAGUUUGACUGGGGCGGUCUCCUCCCAAAGAGUAACGGAGGAGCACGAAGGUUAGCUAAUCCUGGUCGGACAUCAGGAGGUUAGUGCAAUGGCAUAAGCUAGCUUGACUGCGAGAGUGACGGCUCGAGCAGGUGCGAAAGCAGGUCAUAGUGAUCCGGUGGUUCUGAAUGGAAGGGCCAUCGCUCAACGGAUAAAAGGUACUCCGGGGAUAACAGGCUGAUACCGCCCAAGAGUUCAUAUCGACGGCGGUGUUUGGCACCUCGAUGUCGGCUCAUCACAUCCUGGGGCUGAAGUAGGUCCCAAGGGUAUGGCUGUUCGCCAUUUAAAGUGGUACGCGAGCUGGGUUUAGAACGUCGUGAGACAGUUCGGUCCCUAUCUGCCGUGGGCGCUGGAGAAUUGAGGGGGGCUGCUCCUAGUACGAGAGGACCGGAGUGGACGCAUCACUGGUGUUCGGGUUGUCAUGCCAAUGGCACUGCCCGGUAGCUAAAUGCGGAAGAGAUAAGUGCUGAAAGCAUCUAAGCACGAAACUUGCCCCGAGAUGAGUUCUCCCUGAGACUUUAAGUCUCCUGAAGGAACGUUGAAGACUACGACGUUGAUAGGUCGGGUGUGUAAGCGCAGCGAUGCGUUGAGCUAACCGAUACUAAUGAACCGUGAGGCUUAACCUU